AGCACCCAGCUGAGGCAUGCCCUGGGAGUGCACACACGGGUCCAGGGCUGCCAAAGCAAUGCCAGCUCUGUCACUCAGGAACGCAGCUGCUGGAGGCCAUUCACGCCUCAUCGGUGCCCACUCGGUAGAUGGUGGAUGGUGAACGGCAGAUGUGUCGGGGCACAUCAGGGUAACUUCACCCUGAGCUGCAUCCGGACGAAUGGCCAAACGAGGGCAGGGUCACAUCCACAGCCCGAGGCUCUGCUCUCUACCCCAAACAUCCUAGGCAGCAGCCUGGCUUAUGAAACAGGGCACAGCUUUACAUAAUCAUGGGGAACGGAAAGCGCAUGUUGACGAAGGCCCCUAACCUCAGCAGUAGAUUUUUCAAGAUGGAAUUUUCUUUUGCUUUCUUCGGAUGAUAAAAGCCAAUUGUGGUCAUUGCCACCAAAUCCCUGAAAGAAAAAAAAAAAGUAAUGGAUGAAGAAGAAAUUGUGUGGAAUAUGGGCUGUUUCGGACUGUCCACAGCACCUGACAACGAUUUGCCUCGCGCUCUAGCAGAGGUGUGGUUUUGCCAGCUGGAAAUAGUUUCUGCAAUUGUGAGAGGUUUUUGAAUUCUGGGAGCUUUUCAAAGGGUUUAUAAAUGCUACGGCCCUGAGAGGUGGGAUUGGUUGUGGUUCGUUAGUGGUUACACUCAAUGAAGAAACAAGAACAAAUAAAUUAGAUUGAAGAAUUCGUACGCAACCCCACUCCCCAAUCCUUCUUUCUCUCCUGUCUAGUGAUAGGGAUGAAACCAGGGGGAUAAAGGGUGGGAAAAAAAGAACUGACAAAGUAUCAAAUUCCAGCUUGCUCGCUCUCUCUCUCCCUCCUCGUGUGUGUGGCAGGGAGAACUUCUUUGCUUUCACCAUGAGUCUUAGGCCUCUCACUCAGGCUUGGCAGCAAGCACUCACUGAAUCAUCCAUUUAAGUACUUUUUAAAAAAGAUGUAUUUAUUUCAUUUAUAUGAGUAUACUGCCGCUGUCUUCAGACAUACCAGAAGGGGGCAUCAGAUCCCAUGACAGAUGGUUGUGAGCCAUCAUGUGGUUGCUGGGAUUUGAACUCAGGACCUCUGGAAGAGCAAGCAGUCAGUGCUCUUAACCGCUGAGCCAUCUCUCCAGCCCGCUUUUUAAAAAAAGAAGGAUUUUAUUUUGAAACAGGGUCUCACUGGGUAGCCCUGACUGUCUUGAACUUACUGUGUAGACUGUGUAGACCAGGCUGGCCUCCAACACAGAGAUCCCCCUGCCUGUACUGGGAUAAAAAGUGUGCACAACCCUCUUGGUUUUGAUGAACCUGCUUUUCUGGCCCUUGCUAUGAUUCUGGUAAUGGUGUGCAAUGGAUGUCUCAGCUCCCCACCUCCACCGCACCCCUGUAACCC
rnacentral:lncRNA from 1 species